GAGUUUGAUCCUGGCUCAGGAUGAACGCUAGCGGCAGGCUUAACACAUGCAAGUCGAGGGGUAACGGAGGUAGCUUGCUACUUGCUGACGACCGGCGCACGGGUGAGUAACGCGUAUACAAUUUACCUUAUACAGGGGGAUAGCCUUUAGAAAUGAAGAUUAAUACCCCAUGGUUUGUUAGAAUCUCCUGAUUUUAACAAUAAAGAUUUAUCGGUAUAAGAUGAGUAUGCGUUCUAUUAGCUAGAUGGUAAGGUAACGGCUUACCAUGGCAACGAUAGAUAGGGGCCCUGAGAGGGGGAUCCCCCACACUGGUACUGAGACACGGACCAGACUCCUACGGGAGGCAGCAGUGAGGAAUAUUGGGCAAUGGAGGCAACUCUGACCCAGCCAUGCCGCGUGAAGGAAGAAGGCCCUAUGGGUUGUAAACUUCUUUUAUAGAGGAAGAAACCCUCCCACGUGUGGGAGGCUGACGGUACUCUACGAAUAAGCACCGGCUAACUCCAUGCCAGCAGCCGCGGUAAUAAGGGCGA
rnacentral:rRNA from 1 species